GGCUCGUUGGUCUAGGGGUAUGAUUCUCGCUUAGGGUGCGAGAGAGGUCCGGGUUCAAAUCCCGGAUGAGCCC
rnacentral:tRNA from 1 species